ensembl:lncRNA
UCUCCAGAUUCUCCUUAUUGAUUUUUACCAAUAAACAACUUUAUCCAUCCUCUUAAUCAAGUAUUAAUUAGACUCUUUCCUCUCCGUUUCAAACUAAAGUUGGUUGGACCACUGUUACCCUGUAGAUGGCCAUGUUGGCUUAUCCAUAGCCUACACUAUCGGUGUACUACGACGGUGCGGCAGAACUUGACAUAAACACUCCACCACUGAGAGGUGGAGACUGGCGCUUGCGUCUGAGUGUGUGUUCUUCUAGGCGUUGAUACUGCGAGCUGUCAUAAAAAGCUGCGGCAGCUUUCGUUUUUCUUCAGCAUCCACACAUCCUUAUUUUAAAUAUAAUUGGAUAAUAACUCUCUGUGUGUCAUCUAAAGGAGCUGGACCGACACAAUAGAAGCUCAGGCCUUUAUACGAAGGUAAGGAUUUUUGUGUUUCAUAGACUCCAUAAAAUUGAUUCGAACGUACCUGUCCAUGUGCAACACCUGUCUACUUCAACGUGUUGGCAACAUGUCGCGGCUAAAGAGUGCACAGUGCUCCAGAGUGAACGUUAAGGUGGUCUACCUGACAGCGCACUGAGAGUUCAUAUUGCUGAUUUUCUCUGAAAAGGCUUUUGUGUUUCUGUGUAAGAUAUGGAGUGUUAAGAGGUGAAAUUCAUAUCUCUUUAGAAACUAGUCAUGUAAGAUUAACCAAAAUUUAGAAUGUAGUAGGCUACAAACUAGUUAUUUAGGCUAGCUAUUUUGGCGGUUUGAACACAAAGUUGGUUCUGACUUCGAAGGGAAACACAAAUUACGUAAUUAUGCUGGAGAACAGGAUAAUUUGUAUGAUUUUGAAAUGUUGCUUCACAAAUUAUCUUAAAACAUAUACAAUCUUACCUUACGACAAACCAUCAAAGGCUGGUGCAAUGUCAUGAAAUACAACACAAUUUCAGUGGUGUCUAUAUGCCCCACAAUAUCUAAUAUUUUCCAUCUAAUAUUCGGCUGGAAGUGUAUUUGUUGGUACGUCCUUGGUGGAUAGAAUUACUUUGUUAUUGCUGGAUCAGUUGAGUUGUUUAAACACCAUACAUGAGACGAGGCUAUAGCUGUUAUUACAGCAGUCAACAUAUCGGAUUUUAAAACUAGCUACAUCACUUUUUAUCGGAGUGUAGGUUACUCUUGCGGUCGCUUAACACAUUGUGCUCGCUCGCUGUCGGUCUAUAUUAACAUAGUAUUUGUCUUGAUAAAGCGUGAUCUCAUGUAGAUUUGUAUGUGUGUGUGUGUGUGUGCGUGCGUAUGGCUGUCUCUCUCUCACUCUCUCUAUCUCUCUCUGUUUGUGUGUGUGUGCGGAAUAUGCGCGUGUUCCCAGUGUUCAGAAUUCGAAAGAAGACAUGAAGGGCAUUACAAAUUUGAGAUAGUUAAUCCCAGACAUUGAUCAUUAACACACAAUCUAUUAAUUCCUUCAACAUAUCGUCGUAUCUUUUAUGUAUGGCAAUACGCAGUGUCAUGGGGCAUACCUGGAGGCUGUCACAUGAUUGUGGGAAACAAUGGAAGGAAGACAAUCCAUGUUGGGCUGUACUGCACAUUCCUGCUCUGUUUAUAUUCAAGAAGCUUUUUUAAUCUGUUGGACACAAUCCAAGUCAAUCAUCUAAGAGAAAGUCUAAGAGGCAUUGUGAUUCCUACCGCAGCAUUCUCAGGCAAUGUUGAUGGGCAACUUUGAAGAUGUUUUGAUGUUGAAACAAUGAAAAGGACAAAUAAAUAAGGCCAACCACUUUCAGGGUUUUGUUUUGGCUACUGAAUAGUUAGUGUUGCUCAUAUUAUCCUCAAUUUACCAUUUAAUCUAAUGUUCAAGAUGAUAUUGCCCCCCCCCCAAAAAAAAGUUCUGAUCUCACACUCAUGUAUAUAUCGGCUGCUCCUUCAGUGCCACCAUUCCUGCUCCAGUGCUGACGCCUGUGCCCCCUCCCACACACACCCCAACCAGCUCCCCAU